GUUUUCUGAUACCAAAGUUGAGCUAUUACUGAAGGUCCAUUGGUUAGCUGUCCUAGCACUCCUAGCAGUGUUACUCCUAGAAAGCCUGUAGGUCGUAAAAACCAUUCAGAAUAUCAAGUCUCAGAGAUGGAACUUGAGUUCAAAUCAAAUAUGUAUUUGACCCCAGAAAAGUGUCAACAGUUGGCUGAGAAAUUGCAGCUAACUGAUCGUCAGCUCAAGGCCUGGUUUUCAAACCGUCGUACAAAGGUUAGAAAACUUUCCAUGGCUCAGGAAGGACCCAUAAAAUAGGAUGCGUUUCAAAUCUCCGACAACGCCCGUGGCUAAAAAUGGCCGAGCAUAUAAGAUGCAGGUCAGAAAUCAGUUGGGGCCAUUUGAGGUUAGAUCGGCAAUGGUGGC